rnacentral:lncRNA from 1 species
AAAGACGAGAAGCUGGAGAAGGUGGGGAUGUUUCAGAAGAUUCAGGGGCUGAAGAAGAAGCACCUGAAGUCAUCACCCAAGUGUCUAAGCGAAGGAAAACAGUUGUGAUUGAGACCUCAGAUUCUGAUCCUGCAUCCCCACCCAAGACUAAAUGACCAAUUCCUACUAGAAAGAGUAAGAGAACAAGAACCGUCCAAACUCACAAGUCUUCAGCCUCAUUUGCUCCAGUUUCUGAGGCAGGC